rnacentral:tRNA from 1 species
GGGGUGGUAGCUCAGCUGGUUAGAGCAGCGAACUCAUAAUUCGACGGUCACGGGUUCAAGUCCCGUCCGCCCUA